ensembl:lncRNA
AUCUUUACCACUCAGGGUGGGUUUAGAAGAAGGAUAGUUCUAGGUCUGUUCUUGCUGGAAUUGGCCAGAUGCUUUCCGUGUAAACGUGAACCACAUGAUGACCUUCUGGAAGCUGCAUUCACUCCUCCCCACUGUUUAGUGUAAGCCCAGUCUCCCUACUUUAUCUAAAAGGAUGCCAGUGGGUCCCAUCCUGAGCACAGCAGCUAGAGAGUGCUUCCAGAUUUGUCAGAGGGGGCCCAUUUUCCAGCUGCCAGUGACAUCUGUGGUCAUUGGCAUCAUUCCUUGGAACCGAGCCCUGUCCAGAAGCAGAGAAAGCUGGAUCCCUGCCGCGUCAGAGCCCCUUUCCAGGAUUUCCCAUACUGGCUGUGGACCCUGUCAGCCUCAGAUGGGAGGCCAGGCCACCCUUGUCACAGCUGCCCACAAGGCCUACUGGAAGCAACAUGGGGCACAGAGCCAGGUCCUGGUUCUGGCUUUCCCCUUAAACAGCUGAUGGAACCUGGUGCAAUCAGGUGGACUCCGCGUCCAUUUUUCCCUUCUUCAGCUAGGGCAGAUGCCUGCUCUGUUUCCCUCUUGGGCCUGCUCUGAGAGUAAAGUGAGUGAAUUACUGAGAUUGUAUCAUGUGUGAGCUGAUGGAAGAACACUUCUCACACCUGGUUUUGUAACAGCUUCUCAUCACCCCUCCUCUGAGGGAGUUAAGAAAGAGGCCGUGAAUUCUUGACAUCAGCACACUAAACAGUGGCAGGGGCCCUGGAAAGGAUGCAGCUUCUCACAGGCCUUACGACCUGAAAGGAGUAAGGCUCUUAGUGUAUUCAAACAGCUUUCUGGAUGUUAGCGUAUAGAACCCGAAACUCUUGACUCAUAGACCAACUAACAGUCUUCCUUAUGUAACAUAAAUUGCAGUGUGUAUACGGUCUCCCAUUAUCUGGUAGUAGCAUCUUGAAACUGGUCAAAACUUGAAUGCCAAUAGCUCAGUCACUCAGAAUAUAUAUGAUUCUGCACUUGGGAAAGAUGUCUUUAUGCUAUCUGUCUGAUUGCUAACGGGUGUGUGGGUUGCCAGAAUGUGGCUUUGGGGCUUUAGGAUCUGAUAAACAAUAUAAGUGGAUGACAAGCUAUUAGUAUCAUAAUUGCAGGCUCACUGCUCCCAGCUAAGAGAGGAUUCCAUGGCUGUUGAGGACUGGGAGGGGAGGAAAAGGAAGGAGAAAGGUCUGGGAUAGUUUUGCAACACUUCAGUUGAAGAAAUAAGGAAACCCGGAUCAUUUGGAAUUCUAGUGGGAAGGAGGAAGAAAUGGCUCUUCUGUGGGUUAUUUUAAUGAAAGAAUCAUGAAUAUGUAUUGAUUAGAAGUAAGGGUCUUUGAAACUAUUCUGUGUAAAGAUGAUGAGAUGCAUGGAUUCCCAUCCACCUCGGCGGAAGUGAAAGAGACAUCCCUCCUUUAAGUCCUGAUGAAUGCUGGUGUUGAGAACACUCUGAACGUAAAUGGGGCGGAGAUUAAAGCAGUCGCUAGGCGUUCCAGGAUCACCCCAGUAACAGCUGACCCUCCCAGAAGUUAAUGAACGAGAAUGCCAUGUGCGGGCAAGCCUAGGGCCCCAGCUGUCUGAGGUCGGUUUAAGGAACCAUGUGGGAGAGCGACCCCCAAGUCAGAAAAACAGGACGCUUCACUUAAUUCUCUCCUUUGCACCUGGAAGUGAGGCUUCUGUUUGCUGUCAGUCUGUGCAGAUGUUUUGGGAAGAGGAACUGACAACAGUCCUCUUUUGUCACCAUCCCUGAGG